GCGCGGCGAAAAGCUCCGUAACACGUAGUUAACCUACCCUCGGGAUGGGGAUAACCCCGGGAAACUGGGAUUAAUACCCGCUAAAUGAUAAUACCUGGAAUGGCUUAUCAUUGAAAGACUCUGGAAACAUGCUUCCAGCGUUGCCCAAGGAUGGGACUGCCUCCGAUCAGGUUGUUGGCGGGGUAACGGCCCACCAAGCCUAUAACCGGUACGGGCCCUGAGAGGGGGAGCCCGGAUAUGGAAACUGAGACAAGGUUCCAGGCCCUACGGGACGCAGCAGGCGCUAAACCUCCACAAUGCGCGAAAGCGUGAUGGGGUUAUCCCGAGUGCCGUCCGAUGAGGAUGGCUUUUCCUCAGUGUAAGGAUCCGAGGGAAUAAAGGGGGGGCAAGACUGGUGUCAGCCGCCGCGGUAAUACCAGCUCCCUGAGUGGUAAGGACUAUUAUUUGGCCUAAAGCGUCCGUAGCCGGCUUAU
rnacentral:rRNA from 1 species